GUUGGGGAUUCACUCUGUAGUCCCGUCUCCAAGUUGACCCAUAUAUAUAGAUGCCCGUGUGCUCCUCAUCCUAAUUUUGGAAAAAUCAAAGGAUCCCGUGCCCUACACCUCCCUCCCGAUCUCCCUGAACUUGCGCCGCUGACAGAAGCUUUCGCGGUGAAUUUCGUCGCCAUCGCGGUGGAGCACCCAAUCGAGCAGACGAACGUUGACAGAAGCAGUUCGCCGCUGGCCACAGAGAGACCCCUCCUUCGCAGUUAGAACUACCAUCGUCACCUCCGUUGAUCGCCGCGUCUGCACGUCACCUCGCCUUCGCCGGAGAACCACCGGGGGAAGCGCCGUCGCCCACGCCCGAGCCGCGCCGCCGCCGUCUCGUUCAAGUCCGGCGACCACACAGCCUCUGUUUUCCGGAUUUUCAGAUGAUCAGUGUGAUACAGUAGGGUCACGAGUCUUCACUCAGCAUUUUCGCCAGUGGGCAGUGAUGGGACUCAUCGUCUAUUAUGCUACAUUUCCACUGUUGUUAUUGAAUAUAGCUAGCUAUGUGCUAUUCUGUUUGUAAUACUUUAUGAAUUCUGGAU